GUCAGGAUGUCGAGCGGUCUAAGGCGCUGCGUUCAGGUCGCAGGUCUCCCCUGGAGGCGUGGGUUCGAAUCCCACUUCUGACA
rnacentral:tRNA from 1 species